rnacentral:rRNA from 1 species
GACGAACGCUGGCGGCGCGCCUAACACAUGCAAGUCGAACGAGCGAGAGAGAGCUUGCUUUCUCGAGCGAGUGGCGAACGGGUGAGUAACGCGUGAGGAACCUGCCUCAAAGAGGGGGACAACAGUUGGAAACGACUGCUAAUACCGCAUAAGCCCACGGCUCGGCAUCGAGCAGGGGGAAAAGGAGCAAUCCGCUUUGAGAUGGCCUCGCGUCCGAUUAGCUAGUUGGUGGGGUAACGGCCCACCAAGGCGACGAUCGGUAGCCGGACUGAGAGGUUGAACGGCCACAUUGGGACUGAGACACGGCCCAGACUCCUACGGGAGGCAGCAGUGGGGAAUAUUGCACAAUGGGGGAAACCCUGAUGCAGCGACGCCGCGUGGAGGAAGAAGGUCUUCGGAUUAUAAACUCCUGUUGUUGGGGAAGAUAAUGACGGUACCCAACAAGGAAGUGACGGCUAACUACGUG